CCAGGGAACACAAUCGAUGCCGAUGUGGGCUCGCUAGACCACUGUGUGUUGGAAGGUCGUGUAUGUGAGCAUUUUGUUUCCAGCGCCAGUUGCAUGAUUUUCGCCCCAUAGAGGAUCGUCUUCAAAAAGGAGACGAGCGUUCCCACUCCAGCGCCGUGUUGGUGUUAUUACACUCACAGCUUUUGCUGUCUAAAAGGGAAAACCGUUUCCACGGUGCCGACUAGACAGCAGAAAGACGAAUUGAAUGUAGCAGGACUGGGGGAGAAAAGAAUCUCCUUUCAAGGUUGUGACAGCAGUUGUGAAGGAUUCAGAAGCCAGUUAUUCGAAUCUUAUCCCAAACUGAGUGAGGGUGGUGGAUUUGAACUAAUGAAGAUUUCAGGAUCUACGAGAAGCUGGAUCUUGGCUGUUAGUCCUUGCCCUAAUGAGGGGUACUCGGCAAAAUAUUUAAGGGACCCAGAAACCCAAAUUGUCUGCUGCAAUUCAUUUUGUAGGUUCCUGGACUGUCCUUAUCCACUGGGCCCCUGAUGAAGUGCCUCUUUUGUGAGAGACUUUUCUUUCUCAGAAAUAGUCACAGUGACAGCUGUAGCAGCAGUGAAGAAGACAAAAGCAUUAUACUGCAAUUGGCAUUAAGCUGGGAUCUUCCAGGGGUGACAGAAGAAAAUAGGCAUUGGCUAAUGGACAAACUCCUCCUUCACGCUGUAAGUAGGUUUGUUUCGUGCAUAUCCAUGUUCGGUUUACUCAUUGUACUGGUCAGUUGUGUAAUUAACCUACAGCAGGGGUGGCCAAACCCAGUCAUGGAGAGCCCCUAUCCAGCAAAUUUGUUCAAUAAAAGGAAAGCUCUUGUGAUUGAGGUCUGAAGAGGGAAUUUUUAGUUGAAACAAUCACUAAAUGACUUCAUUUAACAAAUACACCUGCUUAAUUCAGCACAUUGAAAUUCUUCCAUGUGUUUUAGACAUUGAUAAUGAAAGGUGACCUAUAAAAUCCACUGGAUUGGGCUCCCGAGUGGUGCAUUCGGAAAUGGCCUCCAGUAGGAGUGCAGGGUGCGCUUUACGACUCUGAGGUUGCUGGUUCGAUCCUGUCGUUCCUUUGCCGGCUGGGGAUGGGAGUCCACAGGGCUGUUUGACCACCCCUGACUUACAGUUAUUAUGCAUUUUAAUUGGGUACAUUCUUUAGUUUGCUUAUUACUCUAUGCUAUACUCUUCUUAUUUGUGGUAGGUUAUUGUAAGAACAACUCGACAGGUUAAACAGCUGAGGAAAGGACUGAAAGAGACAUUGGUCUGGCCUCUCCUGAAGGAAAGAAGUGAUAUUAUUCCACUGAUGUUUCCGAGGGCCUCUGACACACUAUACACCUCCCCGAUGAUCCUUGAAAGAAUCACCUGGCCCACACUGAAUGUGGAGGAAGAUGAUGAUGAGGAUGACUGUUCUCUUGAGACUAAAUGCCGUAUCACAGGCUUCUUCAGGACAUUCAUUGAAACGCAUCACCAAGAGUGCUGAUUGAUCUCCUCAGAUUCUGGGUUGGAUGGGGGGUCCUCCCGAAGGAGCUGUCUGUUGAGGUCACAGAUACCAAACUGCCCAAAGCAUCCACCUGCUUCGAAACCAUUAAACUACCCAGACACGACUUUCACUACUCAUCAUUUGAGGAGGAUCUUCUUUCCUGUAUAUAUACUGUGGACACCGGCUUUGGACUUGUCUAAUUUAGAAUUCUGCCAUGAGAAAUCUGUUUGAACUCCUUCAGGGGCCAAACUGUUAUUUGAUUUGACAACUAGAAAUGUAAACAUGACAAAGUAAAAAAAAAACAUCCAGGUUAAUGUUCUGCUAUAUAAAUACUAAAUGUACUAAGAAAGAAAUUCAAAUUAACGACUGGCAAUUUUAUUAGGCCAUUUUAUUAUUUUGAUUACAAUAAAUAAUGCACUGGGGGGGGGGGGGGGCAACAACAUUUUUUUUUUCUUCUAAAAUACUUGCUUAAGUUUGUGAAAACAUCUGUUAAAUAUCAACAUAAGCACAGGAACUAUUGUCAUUUAUUUAUUUAACAAAGUCAGUGCUAUGACAAAAAAUACAGCUGUCCCAAACAAUAAAAAAAUCAUCACAUUUGGAUGUCUGUUUCUUUAUAA